UUUGAAUAGAAUGUUGAGACUCUGGUCUCUUCCUCUCUCUCUCUCUCUGCUUACCAGCCACCAUGAGAUUACCAGAUCUCCUCCACCACAUGCUUCUGUGAUGUGCUGCCCUACCACAGACCCAGAGGAUCAUGGACUGAAAGCUCUGAAACCAUGAGUGAAAAGAAACCAUUCCUCCCUUAAGUUGAUUAUGUCAGGUAUUUUGUCAGAGCAAUGAAGAGCUAAUGCAGAGGAUGUCAAGGAAACUGCUCCUCCCUUCCUACACUCUCCUGUUUGUUACUGCCCAGCACCUGUGCUGUAACAUCCAAAGCAGGCUAUAGAACCCACAACUGUCCAGAUCCCCUCACUGGAGCCACAAAAGUCUGAAUGAAUCUGAGUCACAAAGAACCACAUCCAUUUGAUAUGCAGGUUCAGAAGUGUAAAAUAAAGUGUGCAGUGUCUGUUUGCUAGCCCCUUUCUGAUUUCUGACUUUUUGUUCAAAGAUCAAUCAUAAGAUCCAUGAGAGUCCAUGAAUAAGUGGCUGGCCACUCUGUUAGGCAUGUUGGAGAUCAAGCGUAUUGUGUCUGCCCUCAAGAAUCCAUAACCAGUCAGAGCACUCUGGCAACCACAUCUGAAAAGAGAAGGAAAGACCCCAGGCUGUGUGCAAUUAAGAGCCACUGGAAAGGUGUUCUGAGAUGUACCAUAGUUGUCCUCAGUGAUCUCCCUAAUGCUUCCACUAAGUUGUGAAUUCUUUAAAGGUUUUUGUUUUUUUUAUUUUUGGACUUCAGUGCAUAGCAGUGAGAGGGGCAUGUGCCAACUGCUCAUAAGCAUCUUUUGAAUGAAUGAAUGAGUGAGGGGACAAAUGAACAAGUGAAGGAAUGAAUAUGUUCCAAGGAAGGAAUACUGCAGAGAGCAGAGAGCUGGAGUGGUGAGGUAGUGCAUCCAGGAGGAAACAGGACUACAGCCAAACAGGGAGUUGUCAUCCAGUGACUCUGUAGACCUGAAAGAAUCUUCCAAAGGUCAAGAUGGUCUCUAGAAAGGGACUAACCUGGGACUGAGCAUGGAAGUCAGGAAGUCGGGCUUGUGAUAAACUUUGGUGAGACGGAUGGAGAUGAAUGGAUGUCAUGGGAACACCCAGCUAAGCCAUUCCAGGAGAGACUAAGCAGAGCAGUGAUGACCGUGAUUGUUAAUGUGAAACAGAAAACAGGAGAAAAAACAAGACUCUAUGUUAAAGAUGGAGCGGGAAUCAUGGCUUCUGACUAAAGGAGAACAACAAGUAGGAUGACAACGGCAACAACAACAACAACACAAGAUUUAAGUGAGCUAUCAAACCAUACAUACCCAAGUGGCCUUUGUGUUUCUAGCCAUGCCUGCACACGUCUCUCCAUGUAUCCGAUGUCAAGCACAGUAGGCCCUCAACAUUCUUCUGAUGAAUGAAGGAUGAAACUACAUUGUCAUCGUUGGGGAAAAUUCAUCUAGGAUGGAAAACACAUUGCUCUUUUGCAAGAC